rnacentral:rRNA from 1 species
UACAGAGGUCCCCAAGCGUUGUUCGGAUUCACUGGGCGUAAAGGGUGCGUAGGUGGUGAGGUAAGUCGGAUGUGAAAUCUCGGAGCUCAACUCCGAAAUGGCAUUGGAAACUACCUUGCUCGAGGGAUGGAGGGGGGAUUGGAAUUCUCGGUGUAGCAGUGAAAUGCGUAGAUAUCGAGAGGAACACCAGUGGCGAAGGCGAGUCCCUGGACAUCUCCUGACACUGAGGCACGAAAGCUAGGGGAGCAAAACAGG